GACGUAGGGGACGAGCGUUGUCCGGAUUCAUUGGGCGUAAAGCGCACGUAGGCGGAUCGAUCAGUCAGGGGUGAAAUCCCAGGGCUCAACCCUGGAACUGCCUUUGAUACUGUCGAUCUGGAGUAUGGAAGAGGUGAGUGGAAUUCCGAGUGUAGAGGUGAAAUUCGUAGAUAUUCGGAGGAACACCAGUGGCGAAGGCGGCUCACUGGUCCAUUACUGACGCUGAGGUGCGAAAGCGUGGGGAGCAAACAGG
rnacentral:rRNA from 1 species